rnacentral:tRNA from 1 species
AGAGCUUUAGUUUAAUUAAAGCGUCUGUGUUGCAAACAGGGGAUGUAGUAUAUCUGCAAGCUCUA